rnacentral:rRNA from 1 species
UACGAAGGGGGGCUAGCGUUGCUCGGAAUCACUGGGCGUAAAGCGCACGUAGGCGGAUCUUUAAGUCAGGGGUGAAAUCCUGGAGCUCAACUCCAGAACUGCCUUUGAUACUGGGGAUCUCGAGUCCGGGAGAGGUGAGUGGAACUCCGAGUGUAGAGGUGAAAAUUCGUAGAUAUCGAGAGGAACACCGGUGGCGAAGGCGGCCUUCUGGACAGUGACUGACGCUGAGACGCGAAAAGCGUGGGGGAGCAAACAGG